rnacentral:lncRNA from 1 species
GGCUGGUUUCAAACUUCUGGGCUCAAGCAGUCCUCCCACCUUGGCCUCUCAAAGUGCUGGGAUUAUAGUCAUCAGCUACCACACCCAGCCUAUUUCAAGAAAUUUUUCAGUUUCCUUCUGAAUUUCUUCAUUGGCACACUUGUCAUUCCAGAGCAUGUUGUUUAAUUUCCAUAUGUUUGUAUAGUUUCCAAAGUUCCUCUGGUUAUUGGUUUCUAGUUUUAUUCUAUUCUAUUAUGGUCAGAGAAGAUACUUGAAUCAGAUUUCAAUUUUGGGGGAUUUUUUAAGACUUAUUUUGUGGCCUAACAUGUGGUCUAUCCUUGAGAAUAAUCCAUGUGCUGAGGAGAAGAAUGUGUAUUCUGCAGCUGUUGGAUGAAAUGCUCUAUAAAUAUAGGUCCAUUUGGUGUAUAGUGCAGAUUAAGUCUGAUGUUUCUUUGUUGAUUCUCUGUCUGGGAGAUCUGUCCAAUGCUGUAAAUGGGGUGUCGAGUCUCCAGCUAUUGUUGUAUUGGGUUCUAUCUCUCUCUUUAGCUCUAACAAUAUUUGCUUUAUAUAUCUAGGUUCUCCAGUGUUGGGGACAUAUAUAUGUGUGUGUAUAUAUGGGAAGAUGAAGAAGCUCUGGAGAUGGAUGUUGUGAUAGUGGCACAAUAAUAUGAAUGUACUUAAUGCCACAAAGCUUUUACACUUAAAAACAGUUUAAAUAGGGCCGGGUGCGGUGGCUCAAGCCUUUAAUCCCAGCACUUUGGGAGGCCAGGGCAGGCGGAUCACGAGGUCAAGAGUUCAAGACCAUUCUGGCUAACACGGUGAAACUCCAUCUCUACUAAAAAUACAAAAAAAAAAAUUAGGCGUGGUGGCUGGCGCCUGUGGUCCCAGCUCCUCGGGAGGCUGAGGCAGGAGAAUGGCAUGAACUAGGGAGGUGGAGUGUGCAGUGAGCUAAGAUUGCGCAACUGCACUCCAGCCUGGGCGACAGAGCAAGACUCUGUCUAAAAAAAAAACAAAAAACAAAGAACAAAAACAGUUUAAUAAAUUGUACGUUACGUAAACUAAACACAUUUUAGACAAUCUGUAAGAGAAAUGAAGGCAAUCGAGGCUGUUUUCACAAGUCCUUGGCUUUAGUAUGAUAGCUUCCAAGUUGAACCUGAUGAGCCUGACCUCCUUGUAUUAAUGUUUCCAUACGCUGGAUUGGAAUAACUUGUGCAACCAGUGGGAUAUGUCAGAAGUGACCAGAAAUGAGUGGGCUGCCAUGUUGUGAGGACACUCACAGCCUGUGAAGAGGUCUAAUGAUGAGGAAGUGAGGCCUCCAGCCAACAGCCAGUGUUAACUUGCCAACCAUGUGAGAAGCUACCUUGGAAGGAGAUCCUCCAGCAGCCCCUCUCAUGAGAGAGGUCAAGCCAGAGCUAACCUGCUAAACUCCUAAAUUCCUGAACCACAGAAACUGUGAGAUAAUGGUUAUUGUUUUAAGCCAUUAUGUUUUGAGGCCAUAUGUUAUACAGGAAUUGAAAACUAAUACAGAUAGUAUGAAGGCUUCUUUCAUCAACUGCCUGAGGUUGGUGGUGUCUUCAGUCAUUUAUAUAGAUCUAUUUGUUUCUGGAUAAUAUUACAGCUAUUUAAAGAUAUUUUGUGGCUCUAUUUAGAUACAGCUACAUUCGCCUUUAUAUGUUUUGAAUACCCAGUAAGUAACUUGAAAAUAUUUCCUGAUAUUGGAGGGAGGGGCAUUGCUGAAUUUCAGAAAGUUAAGGCUAGUAAGAGCUAUGACUAAUAUAAUACAUCUUGUUGGAUACUGUGAAUGCUUUUCAUUUAAUUCUGUAGGUAAAGGAAAUAGAAUCUGAAGGAAGGCCAGUGUUUUAAGUCUUCUUACUCUAACGUGAAUGAAUUCAUUAGACAUAUUUAUAUUUUAAAAAAAAGAGGAAGCAAAAUAAAAUAAGGGGGCAAAAUAAGCAAAGCCAACUUAAGAAUUUUUUAAGGGCCAAAUCCAGUUAUCUUGGCUCUGUAUGUGUGUACCUACCUAAAAUUCUAAUCUCUGUAUCUGUGAGUCUCCAGUUUUUCAACCCAAGCUUGACGAGUUGUGGGACCUCCUCCAAAUGUUUCAACAGGCUGCUCAGGCUGCCUUGCACGUCACAGCCCCAGGGCAGCAUCAGUGCGGUGAGCUGUUCUAGCACGUUCAUCCUGUCGACUGGAAGAAACAAAGAGCAGUUCAGGGACUGGAUGGUCUCAAAACUGAGGAAGAACAAAGGGGUGUUAGGGGAGGAAUGAUCUUUAUGUUUGGUGGCUCUGCAGCCUACUCAAUCUGUAAUGAGAAUCUACUUAAUUUUUGGUUUUUUUUUGGAAAGUAUUCAAGCAUAUACAAACAUUAUGCAGAAGAAUAUAAUGAAACUAUAUAUACUAAUAAGACACCUUCAAAAACAUUAAAUCAUGGGCAAUCUUGCUUAAUCCUGACCUAAUUCCUCCUGUAUUAUUCUAAAGCAAAUCAUGGACAAUAUGAAUCAGUUCUUUCCUUUUUUUUCUUUUAACCAUAAUCACAUAUCACUAUCACACCUAAAAAAUCAUAUCACCAAUUCCUUAAGCAAAUUUGUCUUGCACAUCGGCUACUCUUGACAGUUGCCUCUUCAAAGGAGGAAAGCAGGUGGGAUACCGCCUCAAAGUGCAGUGAGCAUAUGUAAACUGGUGACUUAAAAGACAUGGGCCUGUGUUCCUUAAGGGCAGUUUAAGAAAGGCCUAAAUGAUUUUCCUAAGGAGGGUGCAUCUAGUAAGGCACACAUGGGUAUAAAAGACCUCAGGACCCAGGCUAUGUAUUUCGACUACCCAGUAUACAUAUUCAAGUAUCUAAUUUUGGCUGAAUUGUCAUUCUUACUCAGUUCAUGAAGAGCUUCAUUUCCAUCUUUUUCCAGGUAAUUUUCUGAUAAAUCAAGAAUGCUCAGUUUGACCAAAUUGUGAAGAUUCUGAGCUGGGGAAAAAAAGUAAUCCAAAAUAAAAAGAUUUUCAGAUAUGUUCCAUUUAAGGCUCUGAAGAUGGGGAGAGAAUUCUGGAUGAUCCAGGUGGGCCCUUAAUAAUGGUCCCUUAUUACAGAGAGCCAGAGGGAGAUUUGAAACUGACAGGAGAAGUCAGUAAGACCAUGAAUGCAGAGAUUCGAGUAAUACGGCUACGAGCCAAAAGAUGCCAGCAGCCACCUGCAGCUGGAAGAGGCAUAAAUGGAUUCUCCCCUAAAGCUCCCAGGAGUGUGGCCCUGCUGACACCCUGAUUUCAGCCCCAUGAUACUGAUGUUGGACU